rnacentral:rRNA from 1 species
UACGUAGGGGGCUAGCGUUGUCCGGAAUCAUUGGGCGUAAAGAGCGUGUAGGCGGCCCGGUAAGUCCGCUGUGAAAGUCGGGGGCUCAACCCUCGAAUGCCGGUGGAUACUGUCGGGCUAGAGUGCGGAAGAGGCGAGUGGAAUUCCUGGUGUAGCGGUGAAAUGCGCAGAUAUCAGGAGGAACACCGAGUGGCGAAGGCAGGUCUCUGGGCCAUAACUGACGCUGAGAAGCGAAAGCAUGGGGAGCGAACAGG